rnacentral:rRNA from 1 species
AGUCGGUUCCUAAGGCGAGGCUGAAAAGCGUAGUCGAUGGGAAACAGGUUAAUAUUCCUGUACUUCUGGUUACUGCGAUGGAGGGACGGAGAAGGCUAGGCCAGCUUGGCGUUGGUUGUCCAAGUUUAAGGUGGUAGGCUGAAAUCUUAGGUAAAUCCGGGGUUUCAAGGCCGAGAGCUGAUGACGAGUCGUCUUUUAGAUGACGAAGUGGUUGAUGCCAUGCUUCCAAGAAAAGCUUCUAAGCUUCAGGUAACCAGGAACCGUACCCCAAACCGACACAGGUGGUCGGGUAGAGAAUACCAAGGCGCUUGAGAGAACUCGGGUGAAGGAACUAGGCAAAAUGGCACCGUAACUUCGGGAGAAGGUGCGCCGGCUAGGGUGAAGGAUUUACUCCGUAAGCUCUGGCUGGUCGAAGAUACCAGGCCGCUGCGACUGUUUAUUAAAAACACAGCACUCUGCAAACACGAAAGUGGACGUAUAGGGUGUGACGCCUCCCCGGUGCCGGAAGGUUAAUUGAUGGGGUUAGCGCAAGCGAAGCUCUUGAUCGAAGCCCCGGUAAACGGCGGCCGUAACUAUAACGGUCCUAAGGUAGCGAAAUUCCUUGUCGGGUAAGUUCCGACCUGCACGAAUGGCGUAACGAUGGCGGCGCUGUCUCCACCCGAGACUCAGUGAAAUUGAAAUCGCUGUGAAGAUGCAGUGUAUCCGCGGCUAGACGGAAAGACCCCGUGAACCUUUACUGUAGCUUUGCACUGGACUUUGAGCCUGCUUGUGUAGGAUAGGUGGGAGGCUUUGAAGCGUGGACGCCGGUUCGCGUGGAGCCAUCCUUGAAAUACCACCCUGGCAUGCUUGAGGUUCUAACUCUGGUCCGUAAUCCGGAUCGAGGACAGUGUAUGGUGGGCAGUUUGACUGGGGCGGUCUCCUCCUAAAGAGUAACGGAGGAGUACGAAGGUGCGCUCAGACCGGUCGGAAAUCGGUCGCAGAGUAUAAAGGCAAAAGCGCGCUUGACUGCGAGACAGACACGUCGAGCAGGUACGAAAGUAGGUCUUAGUGAUCCGGUGGUUCUGUAUGGAAGGGCCAUCGCUCAACGGAUAAAAGGUACUCCGGGGAUAACAGGCUGAUACCGCCCAAGAGUUCAUAUCGACGGCGGUGUUUGGCACCUCGAUGUCGGCUCAUCACAUCCUGGGGCUGAAGCCGGUCCCAAGGGUAUGGCCGUUCGCCAUUUAAAGUGGUACGCGAGCUGGGUUUAGAACGUCGUGAGACAGUUCGGUCCCUAUCUGCCGUGGACGUUUGAGAUUUGAGAGGGGCUGCUCCUAGUACGAGAGGACCGGAGUGGACGAACCUCUGGUGUUCCGGUUGUCACGCCAGUGGCAUUGCCGGGUAGCUAUGUUCGGAAAAGAUAACCGCUGAAAGCAUCUAAGCGGGAAACUUGCCUCAAGAUGAGAUCUCACUGGGAACUUGAUUCCCCUGAAGGGCCGUCGAAGACUACGACGUUGAUAGGCUGGGUGUGUAAGCGUUGUGAGGCGUUGAGCUAACCAGUACUAAUUGCCCGUGAGGCUUGACC